rnacentral:lncRNA from 1 species
GGCGCGGAGAUGGGAUUAGAGGAGGAGGCGAGGAGAUGGGAUUAGAGGAGGAGGCGAGGAGAUGGGAUUAGAGGCGCGGAGAUGGGAUUAGAGGAGGCGAGGCGAUGGGAUUAGAGGAGGAGGAGGCACAGAGAUGGGAUUAGAGAAGGAGGCGAGGAGAUGGGAUUAGAGGAGGAGGAGGCGCGAAAAUGGGAUUAGAGGAGGAGGAGGCGCGGAGAUGGGAUUAGAGAAGGAGGCGAGGAGAUGGGAUUAGAGGAGGCGAGGAGAUGGGAUUAGAGAAGGAGGCGAGGAGAUGGGAUUAGAGAAGGAGGCGAGGAGAUGGGACUAGAGGAGGCGAGGAGAUGGGAUUAGAGAAGGAGGCGAGGAGAUGGGAUUAGAGAAGGAGGCGAGGAGAUGGGAUUAGAGAAGGAGGCGAGGAGAUGGGACUAGAGGAGGCGAGGAGAUGGGACUAGAGGAGGCGAGGAGAUGGGAUUAGAGGAGGCGAGGAGAUGGGACUAGAGGAGGCGAGGAGAUGGGAUUAGAGGAGGCAAGGAGAUGGGAUUAGAGGAGGCAAGGAGAUGGGAGAACUGACAGAAAGGUGAAAUGACAACCAUUAGAGCUCCAAGGUGAAUCUGGUUGAGGAGCCUAGGUAUGACAUGGUCACAAAAAUGUAUAGAAAAAUAACCUAUAUCUUGGUCCCGUGUUCCAACAAGCAAAUCUCUUCUACAUCAAUAAGUAAAACAUUUGCACUUUAAAAGGUCCAGUAUAGCCAAAAAUGUGGUUUUUCCUGUGUUUUAUUAAAUUCCCACACUAUGAGCUUGAAAUAAUAUUAUGACAAUGCCCUUUUAGUAUUAGAGCUGUUUGAAAUGACAGCCUGAUGUGGUGGGAAGGAGUUUGUCUUCCACGGUGACAUCACCAGGCAGUAAAUCUGGUAAUAGAUCAAUAAGAAAGAGUUGUAAACCGCUCUGCCAACAGUUCAUUCUCAGUAUUCCUCUCCCUAGACAGCCCAAUUCAAAUCCUUGCUUUGCGAGGAAGCUAUUUUUUUUACCAUUUUAAUUUAAAGCAAUGACAGUAAGGUACUUAAAAGGGAAACUCCACCCCAAAAAUAUUUUGGUAUUUCUUUCAUUAGUCUAUUGUUGAUUUAGUCCCAAAAUGUUUUGCAUGUCAGCAAUCAAGUUUAAAAUAUAACUUUCAAAAUAUAGAAAUACAGCCGGUAUUAUGCAUUUA